UGUAAGGCAGCUGUGACUUUAUAAUAAAGCACACAGAUAAUCAGCAGGCAGACGCACUCUCACUGCUUUAUUUAGCUUUUACUUCACCUGAAGUGCCACAGUGAAGGGCGGCUGUCAGGAAGCUGAUCUUAAUGCAGGGAAACAGGAGGACAGACUGAGGUAUGAAGAUGACACAAGAACUGGACUGAAGAUCAGAGGAACAGGUCUGAUGGAGAGAUGGACCCACAUCAUGCUCGGUGUGUAGGAGGAGGUCAGGAGGAGGUCCAACAGCGAGAGUCUGCAGCCAUCUGUGUCAUGGCUUCAGUCUAUCCCAAACACGCUGCCGGUGCAGUCAAAGCUCACCUGGAUAGAAACUCUGUCAGAGCCCGGACCUCAGCAUGACCGGAGCGGUGUGGGAUCAUCCUCACAGAGAACAGAACAACAGAAACAUCCAACGAAGAGCUCCGAGUCUCCGUCCAGAGGCCUGGAGAUCCUCACAGCUCAGAGUUCAGAUGGAGCUGCAGACUCUUCUCCUGUCAGGAUGUUUAGAAACUUUAAACGAUGCUUCUGUUUUCGGAUCGGUCUGACUCAGGUAAACAGAUUCAGAACGACUUCCUCACACCUGUACAGGUGUAUUUAGCGCUGGUUUCAUUGGUCCCGUGUGCAGACUCGGAGACGUCUGAACUACAGAAACACCAGCUUACUCCCCCACGUUUUCUCCCUAUAAGGGAAUCCCGACUGCAAACAGAGUGACGUCAGGAUUGCGUCACCGUUUGUUUACUAUCCCCAGGAGUGACGCAGCUGUUACAUAACGGAGUCUGACUGAGCUCGCGCAGUCAAAACGGUCAGAAUUUCAAAAUAAAACUCAUAAAAAGCUCAAAGUGGGGCUCGCGGAGGUCAUGUGACAUGUCAGAGUCCAGCUGUCCGGAAACGUGAGCUCACAGCGGCGCGUGGCUCUGUUGUUGUUGUUGUGCGCACGCAGGUGUUUACGUGACGGCGCGAGAGUCUCUGUGACAGCAGCUGGUGUGAGAACAGCGCACGCGCUCUGCUGUCGUCGAGGGGCGGGAGUCUGAAGACAGGUUGAGAUAAGCGAGAGGACUCCUGCCGGACACGAGCGUCGGCACCUGGCAACAGCUCUCCUCCACAGACCCGUGAGAGAGCCACGGAGAGAGGAUGGAGGAGCAGGAGGAGGAGCAGGACGAGGAGGAGGAGGACCUGGACGACGAGCUGGACACGUCUCAGCUGGAGAGGUUCCUGAAGGACGGGAGGAGAGCCAAGUCCCUGCCGGCCUGCCCGGGAGGAGCCCGCGGAGCGGAGGAGGGCAGGAAGCGCGUGAAGUUCGCGGACUCCAUGGGGCUGAGCCUGGCCCGAGUGAAGCACUUCAGCUCCCUGGAUGAGCCGCAGAUCCCCAGCAAGGUCCUGUCCCGGCACAGGAGCUCCCCCCUGGAGCAGCAGGACCUCCUGAGCCACAGCUUCGCCGCCGGCUUGCGCCCGGACCGACCGCUUGCGUGCCUCCCGGAGCUCCGGGACACGGAGCAGAGAGUCCGGCGGCUCCGGGUCUGCCUAGAACGGCUCGCCGCGACGCAGCUGGACGUGCGCGGGCACGUGCGGGUCCUGAGCGGCUGCGCCACCGGCAGGGAGGUCGGAGUGAGGUACACCUUCAACGACUGGCUGUCCCACAUGGACGCGCAGGCGGUGCCCGUGGCCGUGGCCGAACAGGGCUUGGUGGGGGUGCGCUUCACCUUCACCGUGUACAUCCCGCCCCUCGCAGACCCCGGCUCCGCCGUGCACCUCGCCGUUUACCUGAAGUGCGUGGAGGGGGAGUUCUGGGACAACAACGAGGGGCAGAACUACACCGUCAGGUACCGCUGAGUGCCCGGCCUUUGUCAGCGCCCCCUUCCACGCCACCUGAGCGCUGGCAGCGUUUCUCUCACUGUGCUCAGUUCCUGAGGUCAGUCACAAAGUUUCACAUGUCGCAGCAGGUUCCUGCGUGUGUGACAGCGUGUGACAGCGUGUGACGUGAGUGGCUGUGUCCUCCGUGUGGCGCUGCCGAGCUGUCAGUUUAUCAGUGCAGCUGCUUCCUCUCAGCCUUCAUCUCUGAAUGCUGAUGAGCUCCAACAUCUCUGCUUCAGCCCAGAGGAAUCCCAGCAUUUCAACAGGAAGCGACACUUCAAAAUAAAAGCCACAGCCUUUUAUAACUGAGAAUGAUUUAAAGUUGUGAUUUCUGACCUUACCUGUAUUUCUACACAUUCAUCCUCCAAACCAUUUAAAUAGAUUUCUGUUUUGAUCGUCUCAUUUUGAGAAGCUGCCAGGGAGCCAUGCAGCUCCACUGUUCCCCACAUUCCACAAAAAACCCUCAAAUAACUUGAACUCUUUCCUGUGACCUCGUGUGACCUCCUGAUACCUCAGCUCGUGUUCCCACCAUGAUUUCAUAAACAAGUACAGCAGGUGUAAGAUGACCAACGAGCACGAUUACCUCACGAGUCUAAAAUAACUGAGACAAAACGUCCACUUGUUUCUUUAAAGCCUUCAGCAUCCACAACAAGAUGUUUUAAAGAGCAGAGGAAUGUCAGGAAGUUCUGGUAUCAGAAGGAAAACACGGAGCGUGAUCGGAGUCACCGACAGACACAACGAGUCCCGAUCACAGUCUGCUCCUAGAGCUCGUCGUCCUCAUAGAGGAGGGAAUUACUCCAGCAUGGAGGUUUUGAUGCUCUGUGCUCGGUGAAUUGUAAUGACAGAGACUGAGGUGUGGGCCAAGCUGCUUUCUGAUCAUGUGUUUAGUAAACAGAUGCUUCAUCAGCCUCAGACUGAAACAUCUGGCUGUUUGUUCCCAUGAUGGACAGCAAGUUUGACACUCCCAGGUUAGGAUUGGAGCGGCUGCCGCACCGAUCCUUCCAGGUCGCUGCGCUCGGUUAAUCAGCUUCAGCUGAGACCACAGCAGACCCUGUUUGGAAAAACCCUCUGAGAGUGAUCCACGAGCUGAAGCACCGAUGCUGACCGGACGUACCUGGAUAAGAGGAAGCCGAGGAAGAAGCAGACGGAUGGGAUCGUAAAGAGAGGAACAGAAGAAGAGUGCGGAGAUGACUCUGCUCUCUGAACAGCGUUUCAGAAGCUUCAGUGAAAACCACGAAAGCAGCUGAAACAGCUUUGUGUGGCUCGUUGCCCACGAGGAUGACGGCUAGCUGAAUGUUUGUGUGAUAAUAACUGUGUGCUUCUCUGCUGAUUUACAGUUGGAGUGUUUUUGUCCUGAUGCCGCUCCAAACGCCCAAAAAGUCGAUUCUGUUCAUCUGGACGAUUAGCUGGAGGAUAAUGAUGAUGAUGAUGAUGAACACAGCGUCCAGAUAAACACAGUGAACUUUUGGGGAAUCCUGGUGUUUUUUCUGCCAUAUUCAAAUAUUUAGUGCCGGUCACAUGACCUGAUCACGUGUCUCUGUAAAUCAGGACUCAAACGGCCGUGACUACGACUGGAUGAGCAGAAGCUGUGCGAUCCCACGAACGCUGCUGCUGGUCUGGAGAUCCUUGACACCGUCACAUCCGUCACAUCCAUCACAUCUGCUGCUUUUCUUUAAACAAGGUCUCAUGUUUGCGAUCUGGCCUUGCAAAGGCACUUUGAAUAAAUCUCAGUUAGACAAA